UUGCAACGGUGUCGUUUCCUGCUUUUA
rnacentral:sRNA from 1 species